UACGGGGGGGGCAAGCGUUGUUCGGAAUUACUGGGCGUAAAGCGUGCGCAGGCGGUUAUGUAAGACCGGUGUGAAAUCCCCGGGCUUAACCUGGGAACUGCAUUUGUGACUGCAUAGCUAGAGUACGGUAGAGGGGGAUGGAAUUCCGCGUGUAGCAGUGAAAUGCGUAGAUAUGCGGAGGAACACCGAUGGCGAAGGCAAUCCCCUGGACCUGUACUGACGCUCAUGCACGAAAGCGUGGGGAGCAAACAGG
rnacentral:rRNA from 1 species